rnacentral:lncRNA from 1 species
AGAGUAGGGCUAGAAUACUUGUAAAAGUAUCAUGGAGGUGAUACUUGUGUGUUUUUAGCCCUUGGAUGGAGAGAUGUGAGGUUGAGAUGAUGGUGGUAGGUGGUGGUAGGUGGAAUAAUGUUUAAUCCAAGGGCUAUUAAUAAUCAAAAAGUAGAUCCAAUGGCUUAAAACCUAAUAGCACCAUGAUGGUGAUACUUGUAAAAGUAUUAUAGCUCAACUCUAUAUAUAUAUAUAUAUAUUGAGAGAUAGGUAGCACGGUAUCCGCUUCGUUUAUUUUAUUUAAAAAUUAACUUAGAUAGAAAUGUAAAUCAACUAGGAUUCGAACUUGGGUCUCGGGUGCCAACCACCAAGUGCUUUGCCACUUGCUCUA